UACAGAGGUCCCGAGCGUUGUUCGGAUUCAUUGGGCGUAAAGGGUGCGUAGGCGGCGGGGCCAGUCUGAUGUGAAAUCCCGGGGCUCAACCCCGGAACUGCAUUGGAUACUGCCUUGCUCGAGUACUGGAGAGGGAACUGGAAUUUACGGUGUAGCAGUGAAAUGCGUAGAGAUCGUAAGGAAGGCCAGUGGCGAAGGCGAGUUCCUGGACAGUUACUGACGCUGAGGCACGAAGGCCAGGGGAGCAAACGGG
rnacentral:rRNA from 1 species